AUUGAACGCUGGCGGCAUGCCUUACACAUGCAAGUCGAACGGCAGCAUGGAGAGCUUGCUCUCUGAUGGCGAGUGGCGAGCGGGUGAGUAAAGCAUCGGAACGUACCGUGUAGUGGGGGAUAACGUAGCGAAUGUUACGCUAAUACCGCAUACGCACUGAGGUGGAAAGCAGGGGAUCGUAAGACCUUGCGCUAUACGAGCGGCCGAUGUCAGAUUAGCUAGUUGGUAGGGUAAAGGCCUACCAAGGCGACGAUCUGUAGCGGGUCUGAGAGGAUGAUCCGCCACACUGGGACUGAGACACGGCCCAGACUCCUACGGGAGGCAGCAGUGGGGAAUUUUGGACAAUGGGGGCAACCCUGAUCCAGCCAUGCCGCGUGAGUGAAGAAGGCCUUCGGGUUGUAAAGCUCUUUCGGCCGGGAAGAAAUCGCACAGGCUAAUACCCUGUGUGGAUGACGGUACCGGCAUAAGAAGCACCGGCCAACUACGUGCCAGCCGCCGCAGUAA
rnacentral:rRNA from 1 species